rnacentral:rRNA from 1 species
GAUGAACGCUGGCGGCGUGCCUAAUACAUGCAAGUCGAGCGAACAGACGAGGAGCUUGCUCCUCUGACGUUAGCGGCGGACGGGUGAGUAACACGUGGAUAACCUACCUAUAAGACUGGGAUAACUUCGGGAAACCGGAGCUAAUACCGGAUAAUAUAUUGAACCGCAUGGUUCAAUAGUGAAAGACGGUUUUGCUGUCACUUAUAGAUGGAUCCGCGCCGCAUUAGCUAGUUGGUAAGGUAACGGCUUACCAAGGCAACGAUGCGUAGCCGACCUGAGAGGGUGAUCAGCCACACUGGAACUGAGACACGGUCCAGACUCCUACGGGAGGCAGCAGUGGGGAAUCUUCCGCAAUGGGCGAAAGCCUGACGGAGCAACGCCGCGUGAGUGAAGAAGGUCUUCGGAUCGUAAAGCUCUGUUAUUAGGGAAGAACAAAUGUGUAAGUAACUAUGCACGUCUUGACGGUACCUAAACAGAAAGCCACGGCUAACUACGUG